CGACUUUGUCUCUUAACCUACCAAAAACAUUUGGGCCUAAAUACCUGAAUUACAUAUAAUGGGCCUUUUUUGACAAGAAGCUCGUUUAUCUAAAAAGAGAGCGAAAUCAAAAUCUUUUUUGUUUCGUCUUCUUCCUCCCCAAGAGACAACUACAAGUCUUAAACCCUAAAGAAGCACUAUGAAGGAUCGAAUCUGAUAGUUUGGAGAUGAGUUUUCUGCUUCGUCUUCCUCAAACCCACCUGCGGAAAAUGUCAGUGCUCAUGGGCUCGAACCAGUUCCUCGGCUUUUGUCUUCUUCGUUCUUGUGGUAGUCAAAGGCAGCAGCUAUCUAUCUUCCGUUUAUAAAAGAUUUCGUCCGGUUUUAGCCUCGACACCCGUGUCCAAAACUUCAGAUUUGUGUCUGGAAAGUUCGAAACAAGGUUGCAGGACAAAUUGGUGAUGCGUACUUGUGUUACGACAGAAACUAGCUGAAGUUGUUCUGAAGUAGUCAAGAGUUUUGAUUAAAGAGGUCCACUCAUAAAACUCAGAGGAACUUGGUUCAGUAAUGAAAGGUUAACUGGUUUAUUCUCAGACUCUCUCCUAUAACACCUGAGAAGAAGCCUGAGAGGAGAUCAAACAGACGGCCAUGAGCUAGUUUGGUGAGUUGACGGACAGCUUAACACAUUGGGACAUUGACGUAUCGAUAACAUUUGUCUCCUAAUUUUUUAUUCCUUUUGGUGAGGCAAAAGAUCUUUUUGUGAGAUUCUUACUUACCUUUUGUAACAAUUAACAGACUGUCUAUGUGUGUGUAAUGUGGGGAUGGUUUCCUUGUUCUGUCUGGUGGGUCUGAUGCAAAAAAAAAAAACGUGACUAUAGAUUUGGUUUUUGUACAGCUCGAUCUGGUGAUCUUUUGUGCUCUGUCUCUUUGUGUAGCUUGUUCUGUUUCUCUCUGUCUCUUGUCUGUCUCCUUUUGCUGCGGCUGAUUUCGCGGGAUGAAUUAGCUGUAACUAUUGACUUGUAACAAAUUCUGUGUUAACAAUUAUGCAACUCUUUUUGCCAAUUUGCUUCAAUCAUUUCUACUAAUUAGUUGCGGCGGUGCACUAUAAAUGUCAUCUUAUAAUCAUUGGAAGGUCAUUAAUAUUAGAUGAGAUGCGAAUAUAUUUUUCCGGGUCAAAGAUAUACUUGACCAAACUUAUUGUCAUCUUCUAAUUAUUAAUAUCUGUCUUUAAUGUAAA